rnacentral:rRNA from 1 species
AUUGAACGCUGGCGGCAUGCUUUACACAUGCAAGCCGAACGGCAGCACGGACUUCGGUCUGGUGGCGAGUGGCGAACGGGUGAGUAAUACAUCGGAACGUGCCCAGUUGUGGGGGAUAACUACUCGAAAGAGUAGCUAAUACCGCAUGAGAACUGAGGUUGAAAGCAGGGGAUCGCAAGACCUUGCGCAACUGGAGCGGCCGAUGGCAGAUUAGGUAGUUGGUGGGAUAAAAGCUUACCAAGCCGACGAUCUGUAGCUGGUCUGAGAGGACGACCAGCCACACUGGGACUGAGACACGGCCCAGACUCCUACGGGAGGCAGCAGUGGGGAAUUUUGGACAAUGGGCGAAAGCCUGAUCCAGCAAUGCCGCGUGCAGGAUGAAGGCCUUCGGGUUGUAAACUGCUUUUGUACGGAACGAAAAGCUUCGGGCUAAUACCCUGGAGUCAUGACGGUACCGUAAGAAUAAGCACCGGCUAACUACGUGCCAGCAGCCGCCGUAAAAC